rnacentral:misc_RNA from 1 species
GCUGAUAUUCUCUUCCAGCGUCUUCAUUUCAGCUGCCUCCGACGCUCUUCCUCCCUCGCCGCCGGCCGGAAUUUCCCGUUUACCUCGCGAAAAUGGUUCUUCCAAACGAUGUCGACUUGUUGAACCCACCAGCUGAGCAUGAGAAGAGAAAGCACAAGCUUAAGCGUUUGGUUCAAUCUCCUAACUCUUUCUUCAUGGAUGUGAAGUGCCAG